UACGUAGGGUGCGAGCGUUAAUCGGAAUUACUGGGCGUAAAGCGUGCGCAGGCGGUUUUGUAAGCCAGAUGUGAAAUCCCCGGGCUCAACCUGGGAAUGGCAUUUGGGACUGCAAGGCUUGAGUGCGGCAGAGGAGACUGGAAUUCCUGGUGUAGCAGUGAAAUGCGUAGAUAUCAGGAGGAAUACCGAUGGCGAAGGCAGGUCUCUGGGCUGACACUGACGCUCAUGCACGAAAGCGUGGGGAGCAAACCGG
rnacentral:rRNA from 1 species